rnacentral:rRNA from 1 species
GACGAACGCUGGCGGCGUGCUUAACACAUGCAAGUCGAGCGAGAUCCAUCCAGUGGCAACACUGGUGAAGAUCUAGCGGCGAACGGGUGAGUAACACGUGAGCAACCUGCCCCGAAGACCGGGAUAACAGCGGGAAACCGCUGCUAAUACCGGAUGCCCUCACCGGGCCGCAUGACCUGGUGAGGAAAUGGCUGAGUCUUAAUAAACUCAGUCCGCUUCGGGAGGGGCUCGCGGGCUAUCAGCUUGUUGGUGAGGUAACGGCUCACCAAGGCUACGACGGCUAGCUGGUCUGAGAGGACGACCAGCCACACUGGGGCUGAGACACGGCCCAGACUCCUACGGGAGGCAGCAGUGGGGAAUCUUGCGCAAUGGGCGAAAGCCUGACGCAGCAACGCCGCGUGGGGA